GGAAAGCCUUACAAAUAUCUCCAAGUAACUGAGAUUAGUAGAAGAUAUCUAUGGACGCUUUUACACGUCACCGAUUAUGUGGAACGAUGUUCUGGAGGAUUAUGCGCUUGUAGAGACGUGUUUUCCUAACAAGACAAGUCUGAGCAUAGUUAAAAGGUAUGAAAUUUUGUAAUUCUUGCG